UACGGAGGGGGCGAGCGUUAUUCGGAAUUAUUGGGCGUAAAGGGUGCGUAGGCGGGUCUUUAAGUCAGGGGUGAAAUCCUGGAGCUCAACUCCAGAACUGCCUUUGAUACUGAGGAUCUUGAGUUCGGGAGAGGUGAGUGGAACUGCGAGUGUAGAGGUGAAAUUCGUAGAUAUUCGCAAGAACACCGGUGGCGAAGGCGGCUCUCUGGACCGAUACUGACGCUGAGGCGCGAAAGCGUGGGGGAGCAAACAGG
rnacentral:rRNA from 1 species